GACGAACGCUGGCGGCAGGCCUCAAACAUGCAAGUCUAGGGGGUGCAGCAAUGCAUCACCGGCGGACGGGUGCGUAACGCGUGGGAAUAUACCUAUUGGUUCGGAACAACUGCGGGAAACUGCAGCUAAUACCGAAUGUGCCCUAACGGGGAAAGAUUUAUCGCCAAUGGAUUAGCCCGCGUAGGAUUAGCUAGUUGGUGGGGUAAUGGCUCACCAAGGCUCCGAUCCUUAGCUGUUCUGAGAGGAAGAUCAGCCACACUGGGACUGAGACACGGCCCAGACUCCUACGGGAGGCAGCAGUUGGGAAUCUUGGACAAUGGGGGAAACCCUGAUCCAGCCAUGCCGCGUGAGUGAUGAAGGCCUU
rnacentral:rRNA from 1 species